UCCGUAGGUGAACCUGCGGAAGGAUCAUUGUCGAAACCUGCCUAGCAGAACGACCCGAGAACUAGUUUCAAAGCGAGGGGCGAGUUCCUUGUCCCCUUUAUCUCGGGGGGGUUGCGUUGCGCUCGCGCGUCCGACCCUUCCGGGCGUACAAACGAACACCGGCGCGAAUUGCGCCAAGGAAAUUGAACGAGAGAGCGUGCCCCCGUUGCCCCGGAAACGGUGUGCGCGGGCGGCGUCGUCAUCUUCAAAUAUGUCAAAACGACUCUCGGCAACGGAUAUCUCGGCUCUCGCAUCGAUGAAGAACGUAGCGAAAUGCGAUACUUGGUGUGAAUUGCAGAAUCCCGUGAACCAUCGAGUCUUUGAACGCAAGUUGCGCCCGAAGCCAUUAGGCCGAGGGCACGCCUGCCUGGGCGUCACACGUCGUUGCCCCCCCAUCUACUCCUUCGGGAUUUUGUGGGGGGCGGAUGAUGGCCUCCCGUGCGCAUCGCCGCGCGGUUGGCAUAAAUACCAAGUCCUCGGCGACGCACGCCACGACAAUCGGUGGUUGCUAGACCUCGGUUGCCCGUCGUGUGCGUUCGUCGCACAUCGAGGGCUCGAAAAAAUGCUCGGCUUCGGCUCGGCUUUCAACGCGACCCCAGGUCAGGCGGGGUUACCCGCUGAAUUUAAGCAUAUCAAUAAGCGGAGGAA
rnacentral:rRNA from 1 species